CAAUUCACUCUGUGCUUAAAAUGUUCUUUUUCCAUGUUUUGUUUUUCAGAGCCUGUUCUGCUGGGACACAGAAUCACUUGCUCCAUCUAAUACAUUGAUGAUGAUUAAUUUGUAUGUGUACCUUCCAAAAAAGAUGGUUGUGUUUGAACGGAGGCCUCCUGGACAAGAAAAUAUGGAGAGUGCGUGCUUUGGAUUCAAGACUGGGAGUGAGGGG
rnacentral:lncRNA from 1 species